rnacentral:lncRNA from 1 species
AAAGCCAAUAUGACUUCAGAACCAUCCUUGAGAUGAUAGUUUCAACCUUUUCAGACACUUUGUAGCUAAAGGCAGUCUUUAAAUAGCAGCAGAAGCUGCAUUUGUGACUCUUAACUCAACAAAAUAGCAAUGGCUAAUGGAAUGCAGCUGAUUCGAAGUAGGCCAAACUUUUCUGAUCAUGGAGGCUGAACAGUUCCUUGACGAUACUAAACAUCUGUGAAGGAGAACAAGCAAGCUGGAUUCUCACAUACUUAUCCAAGAACUUGCUGCGGUUACAGGAGUUUGGACAUGGAGUGCGGGGUGCCAUCAGUCAAAAGGUCAUCGAUGCUCUGUAUCUGAUAUGCUCGAGGGCUAAAAGAAGGAAUCCAUGGACCGCUGUUUGGGAUUCUUUUUCUCAUCGCAGCCAGUGGAGUCAUCAGACUUGUGGAAUCCCUGCAAGAAUAAGAACAAGAGCACAUGGGAGAGGAGACUUUAGAUUAAACAUAUUAAGGGUUUCAUCAUGAUGUCCAUAUCACAUUUACAGAAAAUGUGAAGAUUUCAUGCUGUCUUCGAAAAGGUAAGAUCACUGGCGUUGGGCAUCUCUAUCUAAAUUAUAUUAGAGGGAAUCAUUAUCCUCAGGAAUUCGUCUUUGGAACGCCAUUGUCAUGCAUUAUCAGCUUUAUCUAAGCAGAGGAACAUAUGCUACUGCAGGAGAAGACAAGUGGAGAGUUUGUAAACACUUGCUCAGCGCAAGAAAUGCAGUCUUCUAAUUAAGCUUUGAUCAACGCAGAAGGCGAGGUGAUGGGAAACCAAACUGCAGAUGGACACAUAAUGUUAUUUCAUAUCUAUUUUAUCUUAAAAAGAAGACAAAUCCCACAUUAAAAAGUGUAUUAUUUCCAAAGGAAGAACAAUUUGAGCUCACAGAGUCACGAAAACAGAGUAAAGAUAUAAUAUGUUGUAUAAUUUCUGGAUUUCAACUCGGAUUGGUGUGGACAAAGUGAAACGAGUUAUUUCAUCAGCUACGCAAUUCCUGUCGGUGUGGUGGAGUGGAACGAUUCUUAUUAGCUGACUUAUUAUCUGAGUUCUCCUCGGAAGAGAAAACAUUUGUAGCUCUAUUAUUUCAUUUCUUAUAAGAUUUUUGGUGCAUAUUCUUAGAUUUUCUUCAGCUCAGCUUUUAAGGCCAUUGCUUCUGAUAUUUUUGGUGGAUUCCGAUAAUUAAGCUGGAGAUUUUACGGCAAAGUUUAUAUGCACAAGCAAAAUUUUUGAGUGAGGAAGCAUACCGAACAACGAGAAAACAUGCGUGAAGUAUAGUGAGAAGCAUAAUUCGAGGCAAUCAAAUAUCCUUUUGUUAUCGAGCAAGCAUAUAUAUAUAUAUACUUGUCUCUAUUUUUAGGCCGAGAAAUAUGAAGUGAAGAGAUGCUGCACAGUAUUCUUCUAGCUUGCUAGUUGGACAAUGGAUCACAAUUAUCAGGUGUUUGAGGUGACCCGGAACUGCACAGUAUAGCCUUUGAUUAGAGAUGAUAAACACAUGCAAACUCCAACAAUCUUGGGAAUGCAUCGACGACUUUUAGGCACACUGGGCAUCG